rnacentral:rRNA from 1 species
UCUACGGGAGGCAGCAGUAGGGAAUCUUCCACAAUGGACGAAAGUCUGAUGGAGCAAUGCCGCGUGAGUGAAGAAGGUUUUCGGAUCGUAAAACUCUGUUGUUGAAGAAGAAUAUAUGUGAGAGUAACUGUUCACGUACUGACGGUAUUCAACCAGAAAGCCACGGCUAACUACGUGCCAGCAGCCGCGGUAAUA